AAUACGGAGACGGGACUCGUAACGGGCCUCCGACAUCCGAAUGAGUACAAUUUAAAUCCUUUAACGAGGAACAACUGGAGGGCAAGUCUGGUGCCAGCAGCCGCGGUAACUCCAGCUCCAGAAGCGUAUAUUAAAGUUGUUGCAGUUAAAAAGCUCGUAGUUGGAUCUGGGUCGCAUGGCUAUUCGCCGUGAUUGGCUUCAGACAUUGUUUAUUGGUUCGCCUUUAUUCGUGGUGUUGCUGAUCCGGUGUUGUGGUCGUGUAACCUUUCUGUCGUGUCUGUGCCUUUUUUCGGAAAGCGCAGGUGUUGGCUUUCUGUGUGUCGCAAGAUGUGCAGUUGGCUGGCAUGCUUUCGGGUGCUCUUCAUUGGGUGCUUGGAGCGGGCGGCAAGUUUACUUUGAACAAAUUUGAGUGCUCAAAGCAGGCCGUAGAGCCUGAAAAGUCUUGCAUGGAAUAAUGAAAUAGGACUUCGGUUCUAUUUUGUUGGUUUUCGGAUCCGAAGUAAUGGUUAAGAGGGACAAACGGGGGCAUUUGUAUGGCGGCGUUAGAGGUGAAAUUCAUGGAUCGUCGCCAGACAAACUACAGCGAAAGCAUUUGCCAAGGAUGUUUUCAUUGAUCUGGAGCGAAAGUCAGAGGAUCGAAGACGAUCAGAUACCGUCCUAGUUCUGACCAUAAACGAUGCCAACUGACGAUCCGAGGCGAGCUACUUUUGGCCCCUCGGGCAGUCCCCGGGAAACCUUUAAGUCUUUGGGCUCCGGGGGAAGUAUGGUUGCAAAGCUGAAACUUAAAGGAAUUGACGGAAGGGCACCACCAGGAGUGGAGCCUGCGGCUUAAUUCGACUCAACACGGGAAAACUCACCCGGCCCGGACACUGUGAGGA
rnacentral:rRNA from 1 species